UGGUGGAGCGAUUGUCUGGUUAAUUCCGAUAACGAACGAGACUCUGGCCUAUUAAAUAGUUCGCCGAUUCCGAUCUGUCGGCGUUAACUUCUUAGAGGGACAAGUGGCUUUUAGCCACGCGAGAUUGAGCAAUAACA
rnacentral:rRNA from 1 species